rnacentral:rRNA from 1 species
CAGCAGCCACGGGAAUACGGAGGGUGCAAGCGUUAAUCGGAAUUACUGGGCGUAAAGCGUGCGUAGGCGGUUCGUUAAGUCUGUUGUGAAAGCCCCGGGCUCAACCUGGGAAUGGCAAUGGAUACUGGCGAGCUAGAGUGUGUCAAAGGAUGGUGGAAUUCCCGGUGUAGCGGUGAAAUGCGUAGAGAUCGGGAGGAACAUCAGUGGCGAAGGCGGCCAUCUGGGACAACACUGACGCUGAGGCACGAAAGCGUGGGGAGCAAACAGGAUUAGAUACCCCGGUAGUCCCUGUCUCUUAUAC